rnacentral:rRNA from 1 species
GACGAACGCUGGCGGCGUGCCUAAUACAUGCAAGUAGAACGUGAAGGAGGAGCUUGCUUCUCCGGAUGAGUUGCGAACGGGUGAGUAACGCGUAGGUAACCUGCCUGGUAGCGGGGGAUAACUAUUGGAAACGAUAGCUAAUACCGCAUAAUAGCAGUUAUUGCAUGAUAACUGUUUGAAAGGUGCAAUUGCACCACUACCAGAUGGACCUGCGUUGUAUUAGCUAGUUGGUGGGGUAACGGCUCACCAAGGCGACGAUACAUAGCCGACCUGAGAGGGUGAUCGGCCACACUGGGACUGAGACACGGCCCAGACUCCUACGGGAGGCAGCAGUAGGGAAUCUUCGGCAAUGGACGGAAGUCUGACCGAGCAACGCCGCGUGAGUGAAGAAGGUUUUCGGAUCGUAAAGCUCUGUUGUAAGAGAAGAACGAGUGUGAGACGUU